GAUGAACGCUGACAGAAUGCUUAACACAUGCAAGUCUUUGGUGAAGCUGUGCUUGCACAGCCUAGCCAAGGCGGACGGGUGAGUAACGCGUCAGGAACUUGCCCUGCAGUCAGGGAUAACAGACGGAAACGACUGAUAAGACCUGGUAAAGUCAGGCGGACUCAUGUCCAGCCUGAUGAAAAGAGAUGCUGCAGGAGAGCCUUGCGUCCUAUUAGCUUGUUGGUGGGGUAACGGCCCACCAAGGCAAUGAUAGGUAGCCGGCCUGAGAGGGUGGACGGCCACAAGGGGACUGAGAUACGGCCCUUACUCCUACGGGAGGCAGCAGUGGGGAAUAGUGGACAAUGGGGGCAACCCUGAUCCAGCAACUCUGUGUGCACGAUGAAGGUUUGCGGAUUGUAAAGUGCUUGCAGCAGGGAAGAAAAAAAUGACGGUACCUGCAGAAGAAGCGACGGCUAAAUACGUG
rnacentral:rRNA from 1 species